ACCACAAGCCAUACAACUCCAUUCGCACUUCCUAUAAGCAGAAGCAGAGCAUGGCGCAGCGGCUUGCAUAUUUGUUUCUCUUAGUGCUUGUCUUCUACACCGUCAUCGUCGUCUCGCCGGCGGCUUUGGCUACCAGAGUGAUGAGCAAUCAUGCGUUUGUUCAAAAAAAAUUCAUCAGCAAGAACGACAAUUAUGGUGAUCCUCAAUAUCCUCCUACUUAUGCAACGUAUCCCAGACGGAAUCCGCCAUGCACUUAUCCUCCCUGUAAACGUUGAAAAGGAUAACAUCUCGACUAGAAUUAGGUUCGUAACCGUGGCUGUGCUACUGAACCAGUUAAUUAUAAGGCUGCGGCAAGUGUCCUACGAUAUAUGUUGGCUAGCUAUCUAAGUAUUAUUAUCUUAAAUAAAGUUGUCAUGUAUGGAGUACUUAUACUGUUGUAUUAGCACUCGUUCAGUAUGUUAAAUAAAGCCUGUUGCUUUUCAGGAAUACAAAAUAUAUAUAUAUAUAUAAAAGUUAGUGCAUAUGUUAACGGAGCUCCAAUUUAAAGAAAAACCAUGUUUGCUUGCUUGUAGAA